rnacentral:pre_miRNA from 1 species
AACAGUAAGAGUUUAUGUGCUGUUAUUUCUACUCCAGCACAUAAGCUUUUACGGUGCA